AAUAAAUACAGUUUUGUAUUAUUCACGUUCAACGUUUGACCGUUCGUCUUAUUUUAAAAAAAUUAUGAUUAGUAUUUUUAUUGCUAUUAGAUGAUAAAACAUGAAUAGUGUAACUAAAUAUUUUUAAAUUUUUUACAAAUUUUUUAAAUAAAAUAGACGGUCAAAUGUUGGGUAUGGAUAUUUACGGCUGUACUUUAU
rfam:Oryza glumipatula chromosome 1, whole genome shotgun sequence.